GCUGGGUAUGUUGGCACAUGCCUGUAAUCCCAGCUUUUCAGGAGGCUGAGGCAGGAGAAUCACUUGAACCCGGGAGGCAGAGGUUGCAGUGAGCGGAGACCACCAUUGCACUCUAGCCUGGGUGACAGAGUGAGACUCUGUCUCAA
ensembl:misc_RNA Metazoa_SRP Metazoan signal recognition particle RNA